CAGCCGCCGCGGAAUACGGAGGGGGCUAGCGUUGUUCGGAAUUACUGGGCGUAAAGCGCACGUAGGCGGCUUGGUAAGUUAGAGGUGAAAGCCUGGAGCUCAACUCCAGAAUUGCCUUUAAGACUGCCGAGCUAGCAGGUGAGAGAGGUAAGUGGAAUUCCGAGUGUAGAGGUGAAAUUCGUAGAUAUUCGGAAGAACACCAGUGGCGAAGGCGGCUUACUGGCUCAUACUGGACGCUGAGGUGCGAAAGCGUGGGGAGCAAACAGGAUUAGAUACCCCCGUAGUCCCUGUCUCUUAUACA
rnacentral:rRNA from 1 species